CAGGAGAAGCCUCAAAAUCCGGAGAACUGAUUCUGUUGCGGUUGGUGGUGGUGCUGCAUUCCUUGUAGCUCCGUUCCUGUUGGGCUAAGGCUCUCAGUCCCGAUGAAGUUCCUAUUACAGGGGAAAAUAAGAGUUUUUGCAGCUGAGCGACUGAAUCUUACUCGCGAGGACGGGAAGCCCAGAGACUGCUGAGUGCUCGGAGCCGGCGGUAGUACUCCCCAAUGGAGAGGAAACACCGGGCCGCCUGCCGGGUUGUUAGAAUCCGGCGCGUCUGAUGCAACGUUUGCUGCCUCAGAUUGUCAGCCUGCAACAUUUGCAAGAUGAUGAUGCAGUCCAAGAGGAGUGAUGUGCGGUGAGUGCUGACCUGCUGGUAGAAGCUCUCGAGGCUGGCGAGCUUCUCGAGCGCGAUGGCCAUGAUGGCCAUGUAGUUGGGGCCGGGGGUGCCGUCGUUGAGCGUGCC